rnacentral:tRNA from 1 species
UUAAUUGAAGCCAAAGAGAGGCAUUUCAUUGUUAAUGAAAAAAAUGAUUAUUUAUCCAAUUAAA